rnacentral:rRNA from 1 species
GAUGAACGCUGACAGCAUGCUUAACACAUGCAAGUCCACUUGAAUUUGGGUUUUUACCUUAGGUUUGGGUGGCGGACGGGUGAGUAACGCGUAAAGAACUUGCCUCACAGCUAGGGACAACAUUUGGAAACGAAUGCUAAUACCUAAUAUUAUGAUAAUAGGGCAUCCUAUAAUUAUGAAAGCUAUAAGAGCUGUGAGAGAGCUUUGCGUCCCAUUAGCUAGUUGGAGAGGUAACGGCUCACCAAGGCGAUGAUGGGUAGCCGGUCUGAGAGGGUGAUCGGCCACAAGGGGACUGAGACACGGCCCUUACUCCUACGGGAGGCAGCAGUGGGGAAUAUGGGACAAUGGACCGAGAGUCUGAUCCAGCAAUUCUGUGUGCACGAUGAAGUUUUUCGGAAUGUAAAGUGCUUUCAGUUGGGAAGAAACAAAUGACGGUACCAACAGAAGAAGUGACGGCUAAAUACGUG